rnacentral:rRNA from 1 species
CGUAACCGAUGUCUUACUUGAAGUUGUGCCCUGAACCGUGGCUUUCGGAAGCUAACGCGUUAAGUUAGACCGCUGGGGAGUACGUUCGCAAGAUUAAAACUCAAAUGAAUUGACGGGGCCCGCACAACCGGUGAAGCAUGUGGUUUAAUUCGAUGCAACGCGAAGAACCUUACCUUACUCUUGACAUCCAGAAGAAUUCGCUAGAGAUAGCUUAGUGCCUUCGGGAACUCUGAGACAGGUGCUGCAUGGCUGGCGUCAGCUCGUGUUGUGAAAUGUUGGGUUAAGUCCCGCAACGAGCGCAACCCUUAUCCUUGUUUGCCAGCACGUAAUGGUGGGAACUCCAGGGAGACUGCCGGUGAUAAACCGGAGGAAGGUGGGGACGACGUCAAGUCAUCAUGGCCCUUACGAGUAGGGCUACACACGUGCUACAAUGGCGUAUACAGAGGGCUGCCAACCAGCGAUGGUGAGCGAAUCCCAGAAAGUACGUCGUAGUCCGGAUUGGAGUCUGCAACUCGACUCCAUGAAGUCGGAAUCGCUAGUAAUCGUGGAUCAGAAUGCCACGGUGAAUACGUUCCCGGGCCUUGUACACACCGCCCGUCACACCAUGGGAGUGGGCUGCACCAGAAGUAGAUAGCUUAACCUUCGGGAGGGCGUUUACCACGGUGUGGUUCAUGACUGGGGUGAAGUCGUAACAAGGUAGCC